rnacentral:ncRNA from 2 species
CGUUCUCGUUGGGGGUGCCCGUGGCGCACGGGCUGAGAUACACCCUUGGAACCUGAUCCGGCUCGCACCGGCGUAGGGAAACGUACACAUGAAUCC